GAUGAACGCUAGCGGCAGGCCUAACACAUGCAAGUCGAGGGAGAAGCCCUUCGGGGCAGAAACCGGCGCACGGGUGCGUAACGCGUAUGCAACCUACCUUUCACAGGGGGAUAGCCCGAAGAAAUUUGGAUUAAUACCCCAUAAUAUUAUUGGAUGGCAUCAUUUGAUAAUUAAAAUUACGAUGGUGAAAGAUGGGCAUGCGUCCUAUUAGCUAGUUGGAGUGGUAACGGCACCCCAAGGCUACGAUAGGUAGGGGUCCUGAGAGGGAGAUCCCCCACACUGGUACUGAGACAGGGACCAGACUCCUACGGGAGGCAGCAGUGAGGAAUAUUGGUCAAUGGUCGGAAGACUGAACCAGCCAUGCCGCGUGCAGGAAGAAUGCCUUAUGGGUUGUAAACUGCUUUUAUAUGGGAAGAAUAAGGAGUACGCGUACUUUGAUGACGGUACCA
rnacentral:rRNA from 1 species